GCACGUAGUUAGCCGGCGCUUCUUCUGCAGGUACCGUCACUUUCGCUUCUUCCCUACUGAAAGAGGUUUACAACCCGAAGGCCGUCAUCCCUCACGCGGCGUCGCUGCAUCAGGCUUGCGCCCAUUGUGCAAUAUUCCCCA
rnacentral:rRNA from 1 species